rnacentral:rRNA from 1 species
GACGAACGCUGGCGGCGUGCUUAACACAUGCAAGUCGAACGGAAAGGCCUGCUUUCCCUUGUGGAUUGCGGGUACUCGAGUGGCGAACGGGUGAGUAACACGUGAGUGAUCUGCCCCCAACUUGGGUAUAAGCCUGGGAAACUGGGUCUAAUUCCCGAUAGGACUGCAGGGUGGUGCCUGUGGUGGAAAACGAUUUUCUAGUGGUUGGGAUGAGCUCGCGGCCUAUCAGCUUGUUGGUGGGGUAAUGGCCUACCAAGGCGGCGACGGGUAGCCGGCCUGAGAGGGUGGACGGCCACAUUGGGACUGAGAUACGGCCCAGACUCCUACGGGAGGCAGCAGUGGGGAAGAUUGCACAAUGGGCGGAAGCCUGAUGCAGCGACGCCGCGUGGGGGAUGACGGCCUUCGGGUUGUAAACUCCUUUCGACCGCGAGGAAGCCACCUGGUUGGAAGGGUGGUGACGGUAGUGGUAGAAGAAGCACCGGCUAACUACGUG